GAUGAACGCUGGCGGCGUGCCUAAUACAUGCAAGUCGAGCGAACAGACGAGGAGCUUGCUCCUCUGACGUUAGCGGCGGACGUGUGAGUAACACGUGUAUAACCUACCUAUAAGACUGGGAUAACUUCGGGAAACCGGCGCUAAUAGCGGAUAAUAUAUUGAACCGCAUGGUUCAAUAGUGAAAUACGGUUUUGCUGUCUCUUAUAGAUGGAUAUGCGCUGGAUUAGGUAGUUGGUAAGGUAACGGGUUAUGAAGGGAACGAUUCGUAUACGAACUGAGGGGCUGAUAGCCCACACUGGAACUUAAACACCGUCCAUACUCCUAAGGUACGCAGCAGUAUGCAAUCUUCCGCAAUAGUCGAAAACAUUACACAACAACGCCACGUCAGUUAUAAAAGUCUUCCGAUCGUAAAACUCUCUUAUUAGUUAAAAACAAAUUUCUAAUUAACUAUACACUUCUUGACGGUACCUAAUCAAAAAGCCACGGCUAACUACGUG
rnacentral:rRNA from 1 species